GAUGAACGCUGGCGGCGUGCCUAAUACAUGCGAGUCGAGCGAAUGGAUUAAGAGCUUGCUCUUAUGAAGUUAGCGGCGGACGGGUGAGUAACACGUGGGUAACCUGCCCAUAAGACUGGGAUAACUCCGGGAAACCGGGGCUAAUACCGGAUAACAUUUUGAACCGCAUGGUGCGAAAUUGAAAGGCGGCUUCGGCUGUCACUUAUGGAUGGACCCGCGUCGCAUUAGCUAGUUGGUGAGGUAACGGCUCACCAAGGCAACGAUGCGUAGCCGACCGGAGAGGGUGAUCGGCCACACUGGGACUGAGACACGGCCCAGACUCCUACGGGAGGCAGCAGUAGGGAAUCUUCCUCAAUGGACGAAAGUCUGACGGAGCAACGCCGCGUGAGUGAUGAAGGCUUUCGGGUCGUAAAACUCUGUUGUUAGGGAAGAACAAGUGCUAGUUGAAUAAGCUGGCACCUUGACGGUACCUAACCAGAAAGCCACGGCUAACUACGUGCCAGCCGCCGCCGUAA
rnacentral:rRNA from 1 species